UACGUAGGGUGCAAGCGUUAAUCGGAAUUACUGGGCGUAAAGCGUGCGCAGGCGGCUUUGCAAGACAGAUGUGAAAUCCCCGGGCUUAACCUGGGAACUGCAUUUGUGACUGCAUGGCUGGAGUGCGGCAGAGGGGGAUGGAAUUCCGCGUGUAGCAGUGAAAUGCGUAGAUAUGCGGAGGAACACCGAUGGCGAAGGCAAUCCCCUGGGCCAAUACUGACGCUGAGGUGCGAAAGCGUGGGGAGCAAACAGG
rnacentral:rRNA from 1 species